GCGGCAACAGCUCAAAUUUGAAAUCUGGCCCUCGGGUCCGAGUUGUAAUUUGUAGAGGAUGCUUUUGGCGAGGUGCCUUCCGAGUUCCCUGGAACGGGACGCCAUAGAGGGUGAGAGCCCCGUCUGGUCGGACACCGAGCCUCUGUAAAGCUCCUUCGACGAGUCGAGUAGUUUGGGAAUGCUGCUCAAAAUGGGAGGUAUAUGUCUUCUAAAGCUAAAUAUUGGCCAGAGACCGAUAGCGCACAAGUAGAGUGAUCGAAAGAUGAAAAGCACUUUGAAAAGAGGGUUAAAAAGUACGUGAAAUUGUUGAAAGGGAAGCGCCUAUGACCAGACUUGCGCCCGGUGAAUCAUCCAGCGUUCUCGCUGGUGCACUUUGCCGGGCACAGGCCAGCAUCAGUUUGGCACGGGGGAAAAAGGCUUUGGGAAUGUGGCUCUCUAGGGAGUGUUAUAGCCCGCUGCGUAAUACCCUGCGCCGGACUGAGGUACGCGCAUUGCAAGGAUGCUGGCGUAAUGGUCAUCAGCGACCCGUCUUGAAACACGGACCAAGGAGUCGUCUUCGUAUGCGAGUGUUCGGGUGUUAAACCCCUACGCGUAAUGAAAGUGAACGUAGGUGAGAGCUUCGGCGCAUCAUCGACCGAUCCUGAUGUUCUCGGAUGGAUUUGAGUAAGAGCAUACGGGGCCGGACCCGAAAGAAGGUGAACUAUGCCUGUAUAGGGUGAAGCCAGAGGAAACUCUGGUGGAGGCUCGCAGCGGUUCUGACGUGCGAAUCGAUCGUCAAAUAUGGGCAUGGGGGCGAAAGACUAAUCGAACCUUCUAGUAGCUGGUUUCCGCCGAAGUUUCCCUCAGGAUAGCAGUGUUGGACUCAGUUUUAUGAGGUAAAGCGAAUGAUUAGGGACUCGGGGGCGCUAUAUUGCCUUCAUCCAUUCUCAAACUUUAAAUAUGUAAGAAGCCCUUGUUGCUUAAUUGAACGCGGGCAUUCGAAUGUAUCAACACUAGUGGGCCAUUUUUGGUAAGCAGAACUGGCGAUGCGGGAUGAACCGAACGCGAGGUUAAGGUGCCGGAGUGGACGCUCAUCAGACACCACAAAAGGUGUUAGUACAUCUUGACAGCAGGACGGUGGCCAUGGAAGUCGGAAUCCGCUAAGGACUGUGUAACAACUCACCUGCCGAAUGUACUAGCCCUGAAAAUGGAUGGCGCUCAAGCGUUCCACCCAUACCUCGCCCUCAGGGUAGAAACGAAGCCCUGAGGAGUAGGCGGACGUGGAGGUCAGUGACGAA
rnacentral:rRNA from 1 species